rnacentral:rRNA from 1 species
UAUCUCUGUAGAGUCUGCAUAUCAAUAAGCGGAGGAAAAGAGACUAACAAGGAUUCCCCUAGUAACGGCGAGUGAAGCGGGAAGAGCUCAAAUUUGAAAUCUUAAAGGGUUUCCCUUUACGAAUUGUAGUUUAAAGAAGUGUUUUCUGUUGAGGUUUUGGUAAAAGUUCUUUGGAAUAGGACAUCAUAGAGGGUGAGAAUCCCGUAUUCGACCUUUACUUUCAACUUUGUGAUACACUUUCAAAGAGUCGGAUUGUUUGGGAAUGCAGUCCAAAAUGGGUGGUAAAUUUCAUCUAAAGCUAAAUAUUGGCGAGAGACCGAUAGCGAACAAGUACCGUGAGGGAAAGAUGAAAAGAACUUUGAAAAGAGAGUUAAACAGUACGUGAAAUUGUCAAAAGGGAAGCGUUUGACACCAGUGUUGUUUUUCUGAAAAUCAAUUAAAGAACUGUUUAUGCUAAGUUGUUUAGACUUUAUCAGCUAACUGUUUAGUUUUGAGCUUUUCUUUAAUGCACUUUUCAGUUAACAAGUCAACAUCAAUUUCUUUUGCUGUAAAAAAGCUUGAGGAAGGUGGCUUGAGAUUCGUCUUAAGUGUUUAUAGCCUCUUGCCUAUGCAGUCGGAGAGAUUGAGGUCUGCAGCGUAGAUCCUUCGGGGCUAAAUGCAUUUGUGCUAAGUUAUAGCAUUUUAUAGACAACUUGUUGACUAUGAUUUGUCUUGUAGCUUACUCGCUUAUGUUAUUUUACCUACGCUUAGGAUGUUGAAGAUGUAGCACAUCAU